AAUUCUGCUCAGAAGGAGGUGGGGGUGAGUAUGGAAGGAGGAGCUUUCAGAGAGGACCAGCCUGGAGGCGGGACGGGUGGGAGGACUUUGGAGUUCUGGGAGGAGUUUAGAGCAGGAGAUUUUUUUUUGUGAUGGGGGAGUAGAACUAAGGUGGGAAAGGCACUGGGAACCCUGAAGUACAGGCCCUAAGUGUGAUUGGAGGAAAGGGAUCAACCAUCCUGAGAGAGAGACAAGGCGGGGCUCUUGGGACCAAGAAGACCCUCCCAGACUGGGCUGUCCCAGAAACAGGAAGUCUGAGCUGCGAUCACUCUUUAUUCCUUCCCCUUUUGCCUUCCCUGCUGUGGAAAUUGCUCUGCAUUUUCUGGGAGCUUUGGUUUGUCCCCGUUUCUUCCCUGAGAGCUCCUCCAGGUCUCUCCCCCUUUUUCCCUGGGAGCUCCUCUGGUCUCUCCCCGUUUUUCCCUGGGAGCUCCUACGGUCUUUCCCCGUUUUUCACUGGAAGUUCCUCUGGUCUUUCCCUUUCCCCGCUGAGAGCUCAGAUCCCUUCCCUUUUUUCUCAGGAGAGCUCAGAUCUCUUUACCCUUUUCUCCCCUGGGUGAUAAAAUCUCUCCCCUUUCCCCCUGGUAGCUCAGGUCUCUCCCUUCCGCUACCCCUCCCCCACGUCCUCUCAAGAGUUCAGAUCUCUUCCCUUUUCCUCUUGGGGAGCUCAGGGUUCUCCUCUUUUUCCCCCCCCUUGGAGUUGAGAUCACUCAGCAUUCCUGCACCCAGGCCUGUGCUUGCAACUCCCAGGGAGCCUGGAGCCAGAGGGAAUGGGCCCUAGGAUCCUCGGACCUCCUCAGUCUCUCCUUAAGAUCUUCCAGACAUAACAGAACCCCACCCAGUUUUAUUCUACUUUGAUUUUCUCUGUGAGCCCAAAUAGGAAUCAGAAGGAACACAUGUCAUUCACUAUGAUUGUAAGUACCUAGUUCUUCCUUUUAUUUUGAGUCCCUGAGGCUAGUUCAUUCUGGAUUCUUUUUUGUAUUUCUCUUCAUUUGCAUCUGAACUUUGUGUUUUCUACAUUUGUGAUCUUUUCCU